GCCUUAUCUGACUAAUUCACGCUUUUUGCUGCUUCUUUUCCUUUUCUCCCCUCGUUCCAUUCUCUUGUUUUCCCCUUCUCUUUGACUUUUUCGGUCCCAGCUCCUAUUCUUUAACUAUACCUCCCAGACACUAAAACUGGUCUUUUUUUUUUUUUUUAGGCACUUAGCACUUAUCCCUGGUGUGUUAAUUUAGGAAUUUCUGCUAACUUCUGGGCUCCGUCC